rfam:Pantoea wallisii strain LMG 26277 Contig0084_, whole genome shotgun sequence.
CCCAGAGGUAUUGAUUGGUGUGAAGAUCGGCUGCUGCGGCAGCGAUACCUGUCCCCAGGUAUUCACCCUGUUCGGUUGCACCGACCCACGCGGAUGCGUGGGUUUUUUUU